rnacentral:rRNA from 1 species
GAUGAACGCUGGCGGCGUGCCUAAUACAUGCAAGUCGAGCGAACGGACGAGAAGCUUGCUUCUCUGAUGUUAGCGGCGGACGGGUGAGUAACACGUGGAUAACCUACCUAUAAGACUGGGAUAACUUCGGGAAACCGGAGCUAAUACCGGAUAAUAUUUUGAACCGCAUGGUUCAAAAGUGAAAGACGGUCUUGCUGUCACUUAUAGAUGGAUCCGCGCUGCAUUAGCUAGUUGGUAAGGUAACGGCUUACCAAGGCAACGAUGCAUAGCCGACCUGAGAGGGUGAUCGGCCACACUGGAACUGAGACACGGUCCAGACUCCUACGGGAGGCAGCAGUAGGGAAUCUUCCGCAAUGGGCGAAAGCCUGACGGAGCAACGCCGCGUGAGUGAUGAAGGUCUUCGGAUCGUAAAACUCUGUUAUUAGGGAAGAACAUAUGUGUAAGUAACUGUGCACAUCUUGACGGUACCUAAUCAGAAAGCCACGGCUAACUACGUGCCAGCAGCCGCGGUAAUACGUAGGUGGCAAGCGUUAUCCGGAAUUAUUGGGCGUAAAGCGCGCGUAGGCGGUUUUUUAAGUCUGAUGUGAAAGCCCACGGCUCAACCGUGGAGGGUCAUUGGAAACUGGAAAACUUGAGUGCAGAAGAGGAAAGUGGAAUUCCAUGUGUAGCGGUGAAAUGCGCAGAGAUAUGGAGGAACACCAGUGGCGAAGGCGACUUUCUGGUCUGUAACUGACGCUGAUGUGCGAAAGCGUGGGGAUCAAACAGGAUUAGAUACCCUGGUAGUCCACGCCGUAAACGAUGAGUGCUAAGUGUUAGGGGGUUUCCGCCCCUUAGUGCUGCAGCUAACGCAUUAAGCACUCCACCUGGGGAGUACGACCGCAAGGUUGAAACUCAAAGGAAUUGACGGGGACCCGCACAAGCGGUGGAGCAUGUGGUUUAAUUCGAAGCAACGCGAAGAACCUUACCAAAUCUUGACAUCCUUUGACAACUCUAGAGAUAGAGCCUUCCCCUUCGGGGGACAAAGUGACAGGUGGUGCAUGGUUGUCGUCAGCUCGUGUCGUGAGAUGUUGGGUUAAGUCCCGCAACGAGCGCAACCCUUAAGCUUAGUUGCCAUCAUUAAGUUGGGCACUCUAAGUUGACUGCCGGUGACAAACCGGAGGAAGGUGGGGAUGACGUCAAAUCAUCAUGCCCCUUAUGAUUUGGGCUACACACGUGCUACAAUGGACAAUACAAAGGGCAGCGAAACCGCGAGGUCAAGCAAAUCCCAUAAAGUUGUUCUCAGUUCGGAUUGUAGUCUGCAACUCGACUACAUGAAGCUGGAAUCGCUAGUAAUCGUAGAUCAGCAUGCUACGGUGAAUACGUUCCCGGGUCU